UGGCGACCGGCGCACGGGUGAGUAACGCGUAUCCAACCUGCCUUACACUCUUGGACAGCCUUCUGAAAGGGAGAUUAAUACAAGAUGUUAUCAUGAGUAAGCAUUUUCGCAUGAUUAAAGGUUUACCGGUGUAAGAUGGGGAUGCGUUCCAUUAGGUUGUUGGCGGGGUAACGGCCCACCAAGCCUUCGAUGGAUAGGGGUUCUGAGAGGAAGGUCCCCCACAUUGGAACUGAGACACGGUCCAA
rnacentral:rRNA from 1 species